rnacentral:rRNA from 1 species
GACGUAGGGCGCGAGCGUUGUCCGGAUUUAUUGGGCGUGAAAGAGCUCGUAGGCGGCUUGUCGCGUCGUCCGUGAAAACCUGCAGCUCAACUGACAGGCUUGCGGUCGAUACGGGCAGGCUAGAGUUCGGUGAGGGGAGACUGGAAUUCCUGGUGUAGCGGUGAAAUGCGCAGAUAUCAGGAGGAACACCCGUGGCGAAGGCGGCUCUCUGGAACGCAACUGACGCUGAGACGCGAAAGCCGUGGGGAGCAAACAGG